rnacentral:lncRNA from 1 species
GCUGAUGAGUUCUUGCAGAGUAAGGUCUCGUUUUUUUGUGCUUAAGCUGAUUCCUAUAAUCAGUCCAGGAGGGUGGAAAUCUCUCGAGCAAAACAUUAGCUUGAAGUAUUUCGCACAUCUUCAUGCCCUCGUUCAAGACUUCCGCUGUGAGAUUUUCAUAUUCGUGAAGUUGAUCCAUGAUAGGCUUGUCAUCAACCAUUCGAAAGUGUAGCCACUUUCCCACCACAUAUUUUUUCUUUCCGGCAUCGUCGGCUCCAUACUUCUUCUCAAGCUGGUCCCAAAUCUGCUUCGCUGAUUUCAGGUUAACGAACAAAUCAAAAAGGGUGUUCGUCAUGUGAUUCAGCAGGUGGCCACGGACUGUCUUGUUGUCCUUCUCAAGUUUCCUUUGCUCUUCAGCGUUUGUUUUCGUGACAGAUGGUUCUUCCGGCGUGUUGGCUGUGCCGGAACCCGACACCGAGUCUGAAGGAGAGAAAUCAUUGAAGAGGACGUAGUCGACUUCGAGCUGUUCGAAGAAAAUUAGGAGCUUUUGAGACCAGCGCUUGUAGUUUG